rnacentral:rRNA from 1 species
AGCAGCCGCGGUAAUUCCAGCUCCAAUAGCGUAUAUUAAAGUUGUUGCAGUUAAAAAGCUCGUAGUUGAAUUUCGGGAUCAGACUGUCGGUCGUGCCUCGGUACGCACUGGCAUUAUUGGUUCCUACCUUCUGAAGAACCGCGAUGUCAUUAAUUUGGUGUCGCGGGGAAUCAGGACUGUUACUUUGAAAAAAUUAGAGUGUUUAAAGCAGGCUUACGCUUGAAUACAUUAGCAUGGAAUAAUGAAAUAGGACGUUUGAUUCUAUUUUGUUGGUUUCUAGGAUCGACGUAAUGAUUAAUAGGGAUAGUUGGGGGCAUUAGUAUUCAAUUGUCAGAGGUGAAAUUCUUGGAUUUAUUGAAGACUAACUACUGCGAAAGCAUUUGCCAAGGAUGUUUUCAUUAAUACAAGAACGAAAGUUAGGGGAUCGAAGACGAUCAGAUACCGUCGUAGUCUUAACCAUAAACUA